GAUGAACGCUGGCGGCGUGCCUAAUACAUGCAAGUAGAACGCUGAAGGAGGAGCUUGCUCUUCUGGAUGAGUUGCGAACGGGUGAGUAACGCGUAGGUAACCUGCCUGGUAGCGGGGGAUAACUAUUGGAAACGAUAGCUAAUACCGCAUGACAACAGUUAUUGCAUGAUAACUGUUUAAAAGGGGCAACUGCUCCACUACCAGAUGGACCUGCGUUGUAUUAGCUAGUUGGGGAGGUAACGGCUCACCAAGGCGACGAUACAUAGCCGACCUGAGAGGGUGAUCGGCCACACUGGGACUGAGACACGGCCCAGACUCCUACGGGAGGCAGCAGUAGGGAAUCUUCGGCAAUGGACGGAAGUCUGACCGAGCAACGCCGCGGGAGUGAAGAAGGGUUUCGGAUCGUAAAGCUCUGUUGUAAGAGAAGAACGAGUGUGAGAGUGGAAAGUUCACACUGUGACGGUAGCUUACCAGAAAGGGACGGCUAACUACGUG
rnacentral:rRNA from 1 species